AGAUACAUCUAUAAUGGGCAAUAUCAAUACUCUAAAACUUACUAAAAUUUUUAAAAAACUUUUUUUUAAUGGAGAUGAAAAUUGCUAUUCUCAUAAGUUAAAAAUCCCAUAUUUUUUAAACACUUUCCAAUCAAAUCAAAACUUUAAUGAUAUCUUAGAAAAAAUACAAUCUACUUAUGAUGGAUCAGUAAUUAAAAAAGGUCAGAUUAUAAAAUAUAAUUAUAAAACCAUGGAAUUAACUAAUCAAUUACCUUGCUAUAUAUUAUGUUGGAAUAGAGAUUCACGUAAAUUUAGCUUUGGUCUCGGUUUUUAUAUUGGGAAUGGAUUCAUCAUGACAGCUAAACACAAUUUAAAAAAUAAUAAUAAAGUAUUUGUUAUAUUCCCAACUAAAAAAUUUAGUUUGGUCUACAAUAUUAACCCCCUUAAAAUACGUUUUGAAAAUAAGGAUGAUAUUGCUAUAAUUCAAUUUGAAAGCAAUUGCGACAAACUUCCAAAUAUAAAGCCCAUAGAAAUAGGUGAAUUAUCUGGAAACAAUUUUUUCUUUUAUGAGCUAAAGUCAGGCCAUUUUAAAAAAAAAAUGUGUGAAAAGAUAAAACCUAACCCAAGGACAAAGAUGCUAAUGCUUCCCAAAGAAUUAGCUUUUUUUAAAGCAGGAAAUCAUGGAGACAGUGGAAGCCCAUGUUUAUCAAGUUCUGGCAAAUGUUUUGGAAUAUAUGUUGCACGCAUAGAAAAAUCUAAAAAUUCUCCCCAGUCACAUGAAUUUGGUAUAGUUUUACAAUUUGAUAGAAAUUUAAUUAAGAAAAUCUCAUUAAUGACUCAAAAUCUCAUUACUUCCUUUUAAAAUGUUUCUCAAAUUAUUCUCUGGUAACUUAUAUAUUAUAUUAUACAUUAUAUAUUAUCUCAAAUAAAACAUAAUUUAAAACUUAAUAAAAUAUUUAAAACUUAAUUAAUUUUAUUUAAAAAUUAAAUUAAAAUAAAUAAAUACAUAAUAUUAAACACAAUUUUAUUUAUAAAUAAACAAAUAAAUAAAUAAAUAGAUAAAGUCAGGAAAUCAAAAUUGACACUAUUUACUUUGUUACAGUACAUCACUCUUGUGGUGAACAAUUAAACCGUCCUAGAAGGCCGCUGUCCUGCAACAUUUAGCCCCAAUUAAACACACCUGAACCAGCUAAUCAAGGUCUCACUAGGCAUACAAGAAACUUUCAAGCAGGUGUGUUAUAGCUGGUUACAGCUAAACUCUGCAGGACAGUGGCCCUCCAGGACCGAGUUUGGAGGUUUAAAUGAUACCAGUGUUUCUCCUUGUACAAUUUCCCAGCCCCCAACCGAGCUGAAGAGCUUCACUGUGAGCGAGUAAGCCAUAAAGCAGGGCCACCACGGUUAGGAGUGAGAAACACUAUAUCAUCAACCAAUAUUUGGGAGUGCACGAACGCUGUAACACAAUAGAGGGUAUGCAUGUGACGUCACCGUCAACCGUUAUGACCGCGAUUACGCCUACUGAGUGGCAAAAGACUGAGUGGCAGCAUUGGUUUUCAGCGUGAAUGCCACGAAAAACACACAAAACACAUCCAAAACAGGAAAGAGCUUUGCGGCUGACUGUACAAAUAGCUUUGACACAAAAUCUGAGGUAUAUUUUUACAGACUGCUGAAAGCUACAGAAAAAAGAAGCAAAUAGGUCGCUGCAAUUCACAGAAACAGCUGGACUCCAGGCAGAGAAACAUGUUUUGCAGUUAUCAUUUUGUGUCAAAAUGUUGGAUUUUGGGGUAAAAUUAUACCCUAUAUAUUGUAUUGUUAUAUAUUGUGUUGACAACUCAUCAAUUAAAUAUUUACCAUCUUAUAUUCUGCAUAACUGGGUGUUUUUAAAUAAACACUGACAAAAACUAUACAAGUUUUAGGGCUGGACGAUAUAUAUAACAUUGAUAUAAGUGAUCACUCCGAUUUAGACCUACCUAUAUUGUAUUUAUAUAAAGCGUCCACAGGCAGAUUUGCUUUAUGUAUUUCCACAGCAUCGAAAUCAGGCACAUAUAAAUGUAAGGAAACACGAUUCCUGGCUGCAUGUCAAUAUCCAUGGAUUAGGUUUCUUUGACAUGUUAUAAGGAACGCUUUCGAGCCCAACUUUUAGUGUAAUCAUUUGUUUUACUCGCGUUUUUCAGUCAAAUCCAGUCAUGCAGCAGGUUCUUUUGCCACUCAGUCCAGCUGAGGGAGCGUGUUCUGGCGGGAAAGUGACGUCAAUGCAUACCUUCUAUUGGCAUGGUUACAGUUAAUUGGCAUAUUUAGGUAUGUGAUAUUGCCCAUUGUCUGGCAACUGAGGAGGAUCUUGUGCCUUGCCCAAAACAAUAACGUGUCUUGUGCGGUCUGGAGUAAAUCUUGUUACAGGUGUUGAAGGAACAGAGAAAGCUUUGUUGCACCUCCAGACUGCAUUCAUCACUUUUGGGUCAAGUUACAAUCCUGAUCCCUCUUCCUUAAAUGAUGGUGGUGCCAUAAUGGUGGCCCUGACUCACUUGGUGAGACAAACAAGGCACCCCUCAUUGCCACCUUCCCCAACAAAUGCAAAAGAGUAUGACACCCCUUUGUCAUGUUGAACCACGUCCAGAUGACAUACAUCACUGUGGGUCAAACUACAAGAUAACAAGAUCUAUUCCUCACGGAAUACACAGCAACUGCAAACUGUUUACAGCAACACUGAAACUGGUCCUCUGACAAAGAUAAAACAUCUGGGGUGCAAACACCCAACCCAUAGGCAUGGAUGCCGAAAUGACAAAGUGCCCAUGGAAAAACACAAGAUACUCUCCAUUCAUUUACUCCAAUCAAAAAAUUGGUUGAGAUUCAGAUUGGUGGAUCCCAGAUCACACUGGGUCCCGGCAGGUCGCAAUACACACAAUUCUACCAUUAUAACCUAACACAAAAGCUUGGGCUGUCUGAUUUUUGCACAAUGAUAAAUUGCAUUUUAAGACAGUACUCUUGAGAAACUGGAAAUGGAAAUGGUGGUGAAUAAAGAGGUGUUUGUAUUUGCUCUUGCAAGUUUCCAAUAAACAAAAAGUAAAGACGUA